rnacentral:rRNA from 1 species
UACGGGGGGGGCAAGCGUUGUUCGGAAUUACUGGGCGUAAAGGGCUCGUAGGCGGCCAACUAAGUCAGACGUGAAAUCCCCUCGGCUUAACCGGGGAACUGCGUCUGAUACUGGAUGGCUUGAGUUUGGGAGAGGGAUGCGGAAUUCCAGGUGUAGCGGUGAAAUGCGCAGAUAUCAGGAGGAACACCGGUGGCGAAGGCGGUUCUCUGGGCAUGUCCUGACGCUGAGGAGCGAAAGCUAGGGGAGCGAACGGG